rnacentral:lncRNA from 1 species
GAAGCCAGGCCAAGAAGAAUCCCAGGACUGGAAGGCCUUGUGGGACGUCCCAGGUUUGUCUUGUGUCAAUAGCACUGAUACUCAAUCUCCUACUCCCAUCUGUGAGCAUGCAGACCCUACUUGCCUUCCCACAGCCUCCCUUUUCAUAUUUUUCAUGUUUCUUUAGCUCUGUCUUCAAGCCUUGUUGCUCCCGCAAAAAAACCUGCCUCUUCCUCCAGUCCUCCCAAGCAGGGGGAACAGUCCUGACACCUUUCCAAGCCCUGGUCCAUGGACAUUGUGCCCCCUUCUCCCUGCCCAUGGUGACCUGCUCCAAAACCCUCAAGGAGAAGGGAGUGUAUGUCAUUUCCUCCCUGUAAAGUAAAGAUAAUUUUGCAGGGGACUGUGUGGAUGAAAUGACAUGAUGCAUGGAAAUCCCUUAGCGUGUGCCUGGCAUGUAAACUGCAGGUGUCAUCAUUAUUACUGAGGAAUACUGAGUCCCGAACAUGGCUGUCUCAUUGGUGGACUGGGGUCUCCCCCAGGGCAUUCAUCUACUAUGUGUUUAUUGCACCCUUUUUCCAUGUGAGGCACAUGCCAGGGACUGGGCACAUGGUAUGAACAAGACACAGGUCAUCGGUGUCCUCUUGAGCUCCCUGGCUUGGCAGCAGAUGCAUACCUGGGAAGGAUGCUAGGUCAUCCGGGAACUCUACCUCCUUCAAAUCCCUAAGGACUGUGCUCCCAAUCCGCUUACGCUCAAGGAAGAACUGGAAGGCCCAGAACCAGCCUGCUGUCAGGAUCAGAACAAAAGAGGAGGACUGCAUAUGUAUGGACCCACUCCAGAUGGCACGGGGACGGGGGGAGUAGGAAAAGUGGCAUGAGACCAGGCCCACAGAGUAUGGCUGUGCAAGUUGUUCACUCUACAAGGGCACCUGGCCGGGGUCUUACCUUGAAUGGAGGAGAAGAGCUUGAAGAUGAGGGGACAGGCCAAGACAACUACCUGGCCCCGAGGGGUGGCUGGCCAGCAGAUGAGGAAAUGGAGGCACAGACUGAUUAGAAAACCAGCUCAAGGUCAUGUUGCUGCUCUCUCAUUCCUGUUGAGGGCUCUCUGGUGGAGCCUCUGUCUCACAGGUCACCUGCAGGCCAACACUCCCAGAAGCAGCUAGCACCAUGGUUGACCUCGUCCAGGUCCAGGGAAGGCCUCCCUCUCCAGGACUCCUUUAGAUUUCCCCAGCAUCCAGACCUCACCUGCCUAAGUGCUGUUGCCCUGGAAGCCACAGUGAGCACGAGCUCCAUCUUGCACCUUUACCAGCCAAUGGGGGUAAAGACAUUAGCUGAAAUACUUCUAAGGGGCCAGGCGUGGUGACUCAUGCUUGUAAUUCCAAGCACUUUGGGAGGCUGAGGCAGGUGGAUCACCUGAAGCCAGGAGUUCAAGAGCAGCCUGGCCAACAUGGCGAAACCCUGUCUCUACUAAAAAUACAAAAUUUAGCCAGGCAUGGUGGCGGGAGCCUGUAAUCUCAGCUCCUAGGGAGGCUGAGCCAGAAGAAUCGCUUAAACCUGGAAGCUGGAGGUUGCAGUGAGCCAAGAUCACACCACCACACUCCAGCCUGGGUGACAGAGCAAGACUCCAUCUCAAAAAGAAAAAAAAGAAAAAAAGGAAAUACUUCUAAGUUAUGUGAGAGAGUACAUACUGACAUUUUCAAUGGGUACAAUAA